ACCUCGCACCGCGCAUCCCGCAGCCAAUCCAUCCUCGCCUCGUCCCACUCCCGCACCAGCCACCACCCAAACCCUAGCCCCCUUUCCCCUCGAUCCCCACAGCCUCUCUCGCCUCCUCCAUCCCUCCUCCUUGCCUCGCCACGGCCUCCCCCGGAGCCUCGCCGCCGCUUGCUAUUCCUCGCCGCCCCUGCGAGCUCGGUGGCGGGAUGAAUGGACAGGGGAGGUGGACGAUGAGGGCUACUCCAUCCACCAGAUCCGCGCCGCCCCUGCCCAAAUCCUCUCCGCGUGCGCCGCACCCAAUCCCGUCCUCGCUCGUCUCACGCGGCCCUCUUGCGCCGCUCGUCUCCACCUCAUAUCUGGCAUCCUCGCUGCGGCCAUAGAUCGAGGAGGACGGCGCGAUGACGACCAUGAUGCAUCGGACAUCCCAGAUCGACGACGCGAUGGAAGACAUGAGAGCUGGCCGAGGAAGAGGGGGCAGGGCCGCAGGUCAUGAAGGGCACGGUGGCUGCGGGCGGAAGCAGCAUGGGUUGAAGGAGCGGCGGAUGUGGGCGGGGUCGGAGGUUGGGGGAGACUCGUCGGCUGGGCGACAGCGAGCGCCGGUGAGCGCAAUGCAUGAGUUUCCAGAAGCGUCCUCUCCUACAAGGUAGGCAAGGACGAUGUCGUCGCCCUCGCAGGUUCUCAAUCUGUUGCAUCUCUGUUCUCCUCGUCAAGGUUAGCUGCUCUAAUUCCUAGAUCUGGGGUGUGGCUGCAGGGGAGGGGAGGCGGCCAAUGACAGGGAGAAGCAGCAGGCCGUCGAGGAGUGCAAGCAGAAGGGGAAGCUUCUGGACGGGAUUUAGACAAGGAAACAGAGACCCGUGCGAAAUCGAGCAUCCUGGUAGUGCCUCGACCAAAGCGGGUCGACGGAUAGCACCGGUGAGCACGGAGCAUGGUGCAGCGAGUUGGAUAGGCAGCAAGAGAGGUGACCACGGGUGUGGCUUGGGGAGCUCCGCACACAUGAAGUGAUGAUGAGUGCAUCCGACCCCACCAUGCUGCUGGUCCUGGAGAAACAAGGGGUAUAUGAACCAGAAAUGAUGUGAUAUACUUGGUUAUUUGAACAUGAAGGUCAGCCGCGGGGUGACGCGACAUGGCUCAUUACAAGCUUCAGCUGGAUCGAAUAGUGGGCCUUCUAUAUAUAUAUUCAGCUGUAUCAUUUCUUACUAUAUAUAUCUUCCUGUCGACCAGACGAAACCAUACAUGGAUCCUUCGCCUCCUUUCUUGCUCAGAACCCAUGAUACAACCUCGGCGGCUGUCCAGCGACUAACAGGUAAUUUCUCUUUCAAUUUGAUGAUGAUGGAUGAGAAUCAGUUCUAUGAUUGCAGCUUAUAAAAACAGAUGUUGGAUGUCCCUUAUGUGAUGUGCUUAUUUACCAUGAUAGAUGCAAUUGCUUAUUAGCAGGUGCUCUCUGAAUCCUUCUUUAACUAAUUUACUUUUGAUGUUCGGACAAAGGAGACUAUAACUUUUUAUAUUCGUUCUAUCAUGGAUUCCCUCUCUAGCCUAUGUACGUUUCAGAAAUAGGUACACACCUAGGAGAAGCCUGAGACCUAAUAAUAGUGCUAAGCAAUUACUCUGAUUGUCAUUCUAUGCUAUCAUCACAACACAGGUCAAUAGACAGUCAACAAAUGUGUAAUCAGCUUUCCCUGGGUCCUGGAUCAUCUACUAAUAAUCGAAUUUUGUGGCGAGCGUCUUAUAAAUCAGCAUACCUAUUUCUCCACACUGGAUAGCUUUUAUUGUGACUACAAAGAAUAUAGUUUGAGGACGGCAUGCCAAUUGUUCUAUGUCUUAGGUAUGAAGUAAUUUCUAAAAUGUCUUAGGUUUCCCUGUAAAUUCUGCAAAUUUACGGCAUGUCAUUAAAACCUACAGGGUGCUCCACCGAUGGUGAAAAUACCUCACAUGAUGAUGUUGGAUAUUCUUCUACAAACUUCUGGCCUACCAGUGGCUGAGUAUCGAAGCAAAAUGUGACAGUUGCAUGAUGUGCUUGACUGUUUAUUUGCAUACAGCAAUAUCAUCUUUUGGAGAUAAAACAGCCGUACGGCUGUUACAUGAGACCAUGUCGGAAGACCGUGCUGCUAUGUAAGCAAAAGGAUUCAUGAUACCCGCGGUAAAAACAGAGAUAAGAUGCUACAGUUAGAGCAGCAUUGAGAAACCGAGGACACGAAAUAAAGGGCAGCCCCAGUGCAUGUAGCUCUCGCUUGCGCAGGGUCUGGGGAAGGGUCCGACCACUUUGGGUCUAUUGUACGCAGCCUUUCCCUACAUUUCUGUAAGAGGCUGUUUCCAGGACUUGAACCCGUGACCUCAUGGUCACAAGGCAGCAGCUUUACCACUGCGCCAAGGCUCCCCUUUAUUAUAAGUACAUGAGAAACCGAGGACACGAAAUGAGUCUGAAAAAUGCUAUGGGCUGAUUCGUUCUAGCUAGGCUAUGUGUGGUAGAAGUUGUACUCACAGGAAGACUAUCGUGCUUUGUAUAAACCACGUUAUAUGAUUCACUUCUGUUAUGCUUAUUUACAUUCCAGUGUUAGGACUGAAAUCCAUCUAUUGUAAUGAAUUUGGUUGUAUUGGCAUUACCUAUUUGACUUAGGCUUGGUUCAUCACAUAUAGACUGUUUUUCUUUAACCCGCUGCUUGUAUGACCUAAAACUGUCAUGUAUAUGAGGCAAGUUAUUAGCAAUGUUUCACAUUUUCUUACUUGCAA